CAUGUGCGGACGAUGGCUUCUGU
rnacentral:piRNA from 1 species